rnacentral:rRNA from 1 species
AAAGUUAUCCUGGCUCAGGACGAACGCUGGCGGCGUGCUUAACACAUGCAAGUCGAACGGUAAGGCCCCUUCGGGGGUACACGAGUGGCGAACGGGUGAGUAACACGUGGGUAAUCUGCCCUGCACUUCGGGAUAAGCCUGGGAAACUGGGUCUAAUACCGGAUAUGAACUCCUGCCGCAUGGUGGGGGUUGGAAAGUUUUUCGGUGCAGGAUGAGCCCGCGGCCUAUCAGCUUGUUGGUGGGGUAAUGGCCUACCAAGGCGACGACGGGUAGCCGGCCUGAGAGGGUGAUCGGCCACACUGGGACUGAGACACGGCCCAGACUCCUACGGGAGGCAGCAGUGGGGAAUAUUGCACAAUGGGCGAAAGCCUGAUGCAGCGACGCCGCGUGGGGGAUGACGGUCUUCGGAUUGUAAACCCCUUUCAGUAGGGACGAAGCGCAAGUGACGGUACCUGCAGAAGAAGCACCGGCUAAC